ensembl:lncRNA
GUAUUUUUUAAUGCAAUUGCAAGUGACAUUGUGCAUACAGGAAAGGGAAAUGCCAUUGAAUUACUUGACUUGGAUUUCUGAAAGUUAUUUGAUAAACAAAUGUUUCCAAAUAAGCAUCAAACCUUAUGUCUGCAGUAAUCAGACCUAUAAUACAGAGAAAUGUAGACAAACUGACACAAUAAGGAUGAGAGUUCAGUCACACUGAAGCAACUUGAGGAACCAGAAGUUUAUGGCACAAGUCCUUGUGUAUAAAAAAUAACAAUAAUCAUAGCUCAACUGGAGUGUCAUAAAUUUUCUGGCAAAACAGUUGGGAAGGAUACACACUCCAGAUUUUAAUGAAAAAUGAUAUACCAACAGCAAUUUCUCUUCUAUAAUGAAGGAACUUCAAUUUCCAUUGAUCUCAGCUGUAGAUGUAUCACAUAAGAAUCUUGUAAGUAGCAAGAUUUAAAACAUUAAGCUUAAGUUGACAUCUUCUCUCUUAAAUUUAGCUGUAACUUGUCACCCUAUUUAUAUACUUCACAAAGCACUAGGCAUCUUUGCAUGAGACUAUUCCCAGUAGGAGAUCAUAGAAAACCCCAUCUUCCAAAAUGCUCUAUCUUACUCAAAUGAUGAAAACAAAUAAACAAAAAAUAUAUAGUGUUUAAAAAUAAUGUUAGCUAUACUUUCUUCUUAAAAAUUCUUCAGUUUCUUCUAGUUCAGUGGCGAAAUUCACCCAAAAUAUGGUAACUCUUUCUCAGUUCCUCAUCACAUAGAGUGAUUCUGUUCUGCUUGUUAGCUUUCUUUUGAG